rnacentral:rRNA from 1 species
GUGCCAGCCGCCGCGGUAAUACGUAGGCAGCAAACGUUGUUCGGAAUUACUGGGCGUAAAGAGUGUGUAGGCGGUCUUGUAAGUUCUGUGUGAAAUCUCCCGGCUUAACUGGGAGGGUGCGCCGAAUACUGCAAGGCUUGAGUACUGGAGAGGAUAGCGGAAUUCCUGGUGUAGCGGUGAAAUGCGUAGAUAUCAGGAGGAACACCGGCGGUGUAGACGGCUGUCUGGACAGUAACUGACGCUGAAACACGAAAGCGUGGGGAGCAAACAGGAUUAGAAACCCCGGUAGUCC